GGGUAAGUCCUGUGCGACCAGCUCCCUUUGAAUUCCCCCAGGGUUUGACCGCAGCAAGGGUAGAAGGUUGAGCGGUGCGAUGCAGAUUGCUUGCCCUUU
rnacentral:SRP_RNA from 1 species